UGGAGAAAAACUUCUAAAUUACAUCAUUACAACCCGUACCGUAAACCGACACAGGUAGUCGAGAAGAGUAUUCUAAGGCGCUCGGGUGAGCCACGGAGAAGGAACUAGGCAAAUUGUAGCUAACUUCGGGAUAAAGCUAUCCGGUGUUAAAACCGGAUUCAAUGAAAUGGUUCAACCAACUGUUUAGCAAAAACACAGGGCCCUGCAAAAUCGAAAGAUGACGUAUAGAGCCUGAUACCCCCCGGUGCCGGAAGGUUAAGGAAGCUUGUCAGCCGCAAGGUGAAGCUUGCGACCGAAGCCCCGGUAAACGGCGGCCGUAACAAUAACGGUCCUAAGGUAGCGAAAUUCCUUGUCGGGUAAGUUCCGACCUGCACGAAUGGUCUAAUGAGUUGAACGCUGUCUCCUCCGUGAGCCCGGUGAAAUUGUAGUAUCGGUGAAGAUGCCGGUUACCCGCCACGGGACGAAAAGACCCCGUGAACCUUCACUACAACUUUGCAUUGAUUUUGAGUAACAGAUGUGUAGAAUAGUUGGGAGACUUUGAAGCAGGGCCGCCAGGUUUUGUGGAGUCAACGUUGAAAUACCAACCUUCUGUUACUUAGAGUCUAAUCCCCGCAAGGGGAGACAUUGCAUGGUGGGUAGUUUGACUGGGGUGGUCGCCUCCUAAAGUGUAACGGAGGCUCGCAAAGGUUCCCUCAGUACGGUUGGUAAUCGUACGAAGAGCGCAUUAGUAAAAGGGAGCUUGACUGUGAGACUGACCAGUCGAGCAGGUGCGAAAGCAGGCUAAAGUGAUCCGGUGGUUUCCGAAUGGAAGGGCCAUCGCUCAAAGGAUAAAAGGUACUCCGGGAUAACAGGCUGAUCUCACCCAAGAGCUCAUAUCGACGGUGAGGUUUGGCACCUCGAUGUCGGUUCGUCACAUCCUGGGGCUGGAGAAGGUCCCAAGGGUUCGGCUGUUCGCCGAUUAAAGUGGCACGUGAACUGGGUUCAGAACGUCGCAAGACAGUUCGGUCUCUAUCUGUGGUGGGCGUUAGUAAAUUGCGAGGACAUGCUCUUAGUACGAGAGGACCGGAGCGUAUGUACCGCUGGUGUAUCUGUUGUUCCGCCAGGGGCAGUGCAGAGUAGCUAUGUACAGUCAGGAUAAGCGCUGAAAGCAUCUAAGCGCGAAACCUUCCUCAAGAUGAGUUUACUUUUAAGUGCCGUCAAAGACUAUGACGUUGAUGCUAUAGGUGUAAAGGUGGUAACAUCAAAGCCGAGUAGUACUAAUUGCACGUAAGCUUUAAUC
rnacentral:rRNA from 1 species